AGCCCACCAAGGCGACGAUCAGUAGCCGACCUGAGAGGGUGACCGGCCACAUUGGGACUGAGACACGGCCCAAACUCCUACGGGAGGCAGCAGUGGGGAAUAUUGCACAAUGGGGGAAACCCUGAUGCAGCAACGCCGCGUGAAGGAAGACGGUUUUCGGAUUGUAAACUUCUAUCAAUAGGGAAGAAAAAAAUGACGGUACCUAAAUAAGAAGCCCCGGCUAACUACGUGCCAGCAGCCGCGGUAAUACGUAGGGGGCAAGCGUUAUCCGGAAUUACUGGGUGUAAAGGGAGAGUAGGCGGCAAGGUAAGCGAUAUGUGAAAGCCUUAGGCUUAACCUGAGGAUUGCAUAACGAACUAUCUAGCUAGAGUACAGGAGAGGAAAGCGGAAUUCUUAGUGUAGCGGUGAAAUGCGUAGAUAUUAGGAAGAACACCAGUGGCGAAGGCGGCUUUCUGGACUGAAACUGACGCUGAGGCUCGAAAGCGUGGGGAGCGAACAGGAUUAGAUACCCUGGUAGUCCACGCUGUAAACGAUGAGUGCUAGGUGUCGGGGAGGAAUCCUCG
rnacentral:rRNA from 1 species